rnacentral:rRNA from 1 species
UGAGGGAUAUUGGUCAAUGGGCGCAAGCCUGAACCAGCGACGCCGCGUGGGUGAAGAAGGUCUUCGGAUCGUAAAGCCCUUUUCCCACUGAAGAGGAAGGACUGUAGGUGGGGAAGAAGUCUCGGCUAACCACGUGCCAGCAGCCGCGGUAAAACGUAGGAGACAAGCGUUAUCCGGAGUUACUGGGCGUAAAGGGCGUGCAGGUGGCGUCUUAAGUCUGUUGUGAAAGCGCCUGGCUUAACCGGGCGAGGCCAAUGGAGACUGAGAGGCUGGAGGACGGCGGAGNGGUGUGGAAUUCCGGGUGUAGUGGUGAAAUGCGUAGAGAUCCGGAGGAACACCAGAGGCGAAGGCGGCACUCUAAGCCGUACCUGACACUGAGACGCGACAGCACGGGGAGCAAACG